ensembl:snRNA U6 U6 spliceosomal RNA
GUGCAUAGUUCAGCAGCACCCAUACUAAAAUGGGAACCAUACAGAAAAGAUUAGCAGGGCCUCUGCACAAGGAUGAUUUCUGUUUUAGUCUGGUUUUUCAUUGCCAU